GUUAUCACGGGAGACACACGGCGGGUGCUAACGUCCGUCGUGAAGAGGGAAACAACCCAGACCGCCAGCUAAGGUCCCAAAGUCAUGGUUAAGUGGGAAACGAUGUGGGAAGGCCCAGACAGCCAGGAUGUUGGCUUAGAAGCAGCCAUCAUUUAAAGAAAGCGUAAUAGCUCACUGGUCGAGUCGGCCUGCGCGGAAGAUGUAACGGGGCUAAACCAUGCACCGAAGCUGCGGCAGCGACACUAUGUGUUGUUGGGUAGGGGAGCGUUCUGUAAGCCUGUGAAGGUGGCCUGUGAGGGUUGCUGGAGGUAUCAGAAGUGCGAAUGCUGACAUAAGUAACGAUAAAGCGGGUGAAAAGCCCGCUCGCCGGAAGACCAAGGGUUCCUGUCCAACGUUAAUCGGGGCAGGGUGAGUCGACCCCUAAGGCGAGGCCGAAAGGCGUAGUCGAUGGGAAACAGGUUAAUAUUCCUGUACUUGGUGUUACUGCGAAGGGGGGACGGAGAAGGCUAUGUUGGCCGGGCGACGGUUGUC
rnacentral:rRNA from 1 species